GUUUAGUGGCGGACGGGUGAGUAACACGUUGGUACCUGCCCUUUAGGUGGGGAAUAACUCGGCGAAAGUCGGGCUAAUACCGCAUGUGAUCCUUCGGGAUCAAAGCCUUCGGGGCGCUAAAGGAGGGGCCUGCGUCUGAUUAGCUUGUUGGUAAGGUAAUGGCUUACCAAGACGAUGAUCAGUAGCUGGUUCGAGAGGAUGAUCAGCCACACUGGAACUGAGAUACGGUCCAGACUCCUACGGGAGGCAGCAGUAAGGAAUCUUCCGCAAUGGACGAAAGUCUGACGGAGCAACGCCGCGUGCAGGAUGAAGGCUUUCGGGUCGUAAACUGCUUUUGUAUGGGAAGAUUAUGACGGUACCAUACGAAUAAGGACCGGCUAACUACGUG
rnacentral:rRNA from 1 species